rnacentral:ncRNA from 2 species
CCUUUAUCAAGAGUGGCAGAGGGACUGGCCCAAUGAAGCCCGGCAACCGCGCAGCAGUGCAAGGUGCUAAUUCCAGCGAGUCGCGGGUGCGGACUCGAAAGAUAAAGG